rnacentral:lncRNA from 1 species
GAAGGUAGCAGUCCAGUGGAGCAGACAUACAUACACAGAGUUGGCUAUGGUAAGCAAGUAAGACGUAAGCAAUAAAGUCUAUUUCAUUUUGGGUUUUUAGGGAAAUAAAGAUUUGAACUAGGCUCCAAGAGUUAGGUUGAAGCUUCCCAGACAAAUAAUAAGAAGCACCACUAGCAAGAACAGUCUGAACAAAGGUAUGGAGGUAUGAAAGCACAUGAGGAACUGAAGAAUGGUAAAUUAAUCUAGUCAUCUGAAAGGUAGAGGCUAUGAAGGGAGAGAUAAGGUGAUAAAAGUUGAUGGAGCACAUAGUGUCAAUGUACAAAAAUGACUGGGUAAUAUUGCAUCCAGAAAAAACAUGGAAAAGUACAGAACUGGUUUGUAAGUGUCAAGUGCUAUUCAACUUAAAGACAUGCAAGGGCAUGAAAACUCAACAAAAUGAUGAAUGAAAUUUAAGACCUAGGAAUUCAACCCAUUCUACCAAUCCUCCCCAUAAGCUAAAAGAAAGAGCCAGAUGAACUUGAUAUUAGAUUCUAGCUUUGCUUCUUAUUAUAUAUAUAUAGUCUUUUGCAAGACAAUCUC